CCUUUGUCCCAGGGCAAUGGGGUCAGCUUGCUCUUUUCUGGCUUGCAUAAUGUUAGGAGAGUAAAGGUGCAGGUGGGGGAAGGAGAAGGGAAUUAAAGUUUAUCAAGGGUCUCCUGCUAUUAUUAGGCACUGGGCUGGGUGCUCAGCAGACACGGACCUUACAACUGAGUCUCUGUUUUGCACUUGAGAAACUGAGGUGCAAAGCCUUAAAGAAACUUGCUCCAGAUCUCGCAGAUAUGCAAUGAAGGAUGGAAAAUUCCUCAAGGCUUCCAGUGGAAUUUUGAGGAGGUUUCUAACCCAUGGUUGAGUUAGAAAAUUCCAUGAUUACGGAGUGUGGACAGAAAGCUGAGAAUAGCUGUGAUGUUCCAGCUUGUAAAGAAGAGGGAGGGAAGCUUUGCUGGAACCUGGGAGGCCUGGUUUGGCUAACAGAGAAGAGGCAGUGACUGCAGAUCCAAGAAUAGGCCUGAAGAAAUGAAGGAGGCAAAAAGAGGAGUCAGCAAUGGGGACAGUUCUCCCUAGAUGAAUGGCCCCCUUUCCCUGGAUUUACAGCAUCCUCCUGCAGCGGGGUUGAUGUCACUCUAUGAGAGUUACAGCUGCCUUCAACUGUGACUGCUGCAUUCCAAUGUACUGCCUGGCCUCCAGCAGCCCAGCAGGACUUCUCUCCAGCAGGGAGGAGAGGCCCUGCUUCCUGGCCUGCGACUGGGGUAGGGAUUGGAAAACUUCAGCGUCCUCCUUAUGCCUGGAGACAGCUGGCCCAGCUCUGACUAGGAAGGAUCCCGAGCAACAGGAACAAGAAGAAUUGAGGCAAAAGGGAAUAUUAAGAAUGGGGACAAUGGGGAGCUGGGUGAGGCU